CCAUAGAUAGCUCAGGUGGUAGAGCAUGGGACUCCUAAUCUCAGGGUUGUGGGUUCGAGCCCCAAACUGGGUGGA
rnacentral:tRNA from 1 species